rnacentral:rRNA from 1 species
AACGAACGCUGGCGGCAUGCCUAACACAUGCAAGUCGAACGAGACCUUCGGGUCUAGUGGCGCACGGGUGUGUAACGCGUGGGAACCUGCCCUUAGGUUCGGAAUAACUCCCCGAAAGGGGUGCUAAUACCGGAUAAUGUCUUCGGACCAAAGAUUUAUCGCCCUUGGAUGGGCCCGCGUUGGAUUAGCUGGUUGGUAGGGUAAAAGCCUACCAAGGCGACAAUCCAUAGCUGGUCUGAGAGGCAGAUCAGCCACACUGGGACUGGGACACGGCCCAGACUCCUACGGAAGGCAGGAGAGGGGAAUAUUGGACAAUGGGCGAAAGCCUGAUCCAGCUAUGCCGCGUGAGUGAUGAAGGCCUUAGGGUUGUAAAGCUCUUUUACCCGGGAUGAUAAUGACAGUACCGGGAGAAUAAGCUCCGGCUAACUCCGUG